UGUCAUCAUUGGGGUUUUUUUUGUUAUAUGUGUUUUGGUUUACAACCGUCUUCAUUUCUUUCUGUAUUUGCUUUAAAAAAAAAAACUAUUUCUCUAUUUAUUCACAAGUUGCAUGAAUCAUAGAUUUGGCAGUAACGUAGUUGUCAGUAAAACCCCAGUGACUGUAACUCUGCUGUAUUUUUCUGCAGAACAGGAGAGAACUCAAUGUUUCCGACUGAGCUGAGCUCUAUUGUCGCUGCCAAGAGCUGAUCCUGUUGCUUAGUAACUUCUGACUUUGCUUCAUCUGAUUUUCACAGUAUUAUCCUGCAACAGGAUUCUAUGGAAAAUCCUGCUCCAAUAGCUGUCCAACACGUCUCUGUGCUCUCCCGCCUGUCAUGCAGGUACAGUAUGUGUCAGCAGUCCUGGAACAAAUGGGGAAAGGUUAGGACGUGCUGUGCAGGAAUUACAGGAAGGAUAGGGUGUGUCAUUGCUGCACCCGAGUCAACUGUUAUCAGGCUGUUAAACAGGCGUUAUCGGUCGCUAUAAACACCAUAGAUGUGGGUCAUUCGGGGGCCUACUACACCUACUACAUUGUAACGUUUAAAGCACAACCUUUUUUUUUUGCAACUCCAAAAUCCUCAAGUCUCGUCAGAUGUUUUUGUGACAAACUGAACCUGAACACCAGAAGAAAUCAAAAUGUUAUUUGGGCACGGGUGAGUGGACAAGACACGUCUUCACACUUUAAAACUGAGCCUACUAUAACCUAAAAAUCACAAGUCAUGUAAAUGCGUUUAAAAAAUUAGUGCCAUUACAA